GAUCCCGACACUGAUGACACUGAUGAAUAUCAAAGUGUCUGUCGUGUAAUGUCCGGCUUCUCAGAUGCGUUCUGUACAGAGGUUAAGUGAAAUUAUGUCGAAGGUUUAAAUGAUUUAUUGGGCUUGGUUCCUAUUGGUGCUUGGUACGGGAAUGGAAGGAAUGCUGGAUGGUACAGUCCAUUUCUCAUGGCUUGCUAUGAUCCCGACACUGAUGAAUAUCAAAGUGUCUGUCGUGUAAUGUCCGGCUUCAGGAAGGUGAAGAUGGCUUCUGGUGGUCAAGAUUUGAUAUGGCCUCUUUCUCUGUCUCCACUCUCAAAACCCUAGCUCCGCACCAUAU